ACAAUGGGCGCAAGCCUGAUGCAGCCAUGCCGCGUGUAUGAAGAAGGCCUUCGGGUUGUAAAGUACUUUCAGUGGGGAGGAAGGCGUUAAGGUUAAUAACCUUGACGAUUGACGUUACCCGCAGAAGAAGCACCGGCUAACUCC
rnacentral:rRNA from 1 species